CCCAGCAUGAGCUAUACUGCAGUCGAGGGGCAGCAUCAUCGCUUGCGAUGGAUGGCGACCGGCGCACGGGUGCGUAACGCGUAUGCAACCUACCCUUUACAGGGGGAUAGCCCGGAGAAAUCCGGAUUAAUACCCCAUGGUACCAUAAAGUAGCAUUGCUUAAUGGUUAAAGAUUUAUUGGUAAAGGAUGGGCAUGCGUCUGAUUAGUUAGUUGGUGAGGUAACGGCUCACCAAGGCAACGAUCAGUAGGGGUUCUGAGAGGAUGAUCCCCCACACUGGCACUGAGAUACGGGCCAGACUCCUACGGGAGGCAGCAGUAGGGAAUAUUGGUCAAUGGGCGAGAGCCUGAACCAGCCAUGCCGCGUGCAGGAAGACGGCCUUCUGGGUUGUAAACUGCUUUUAUCAGGGAACAAAUAGUCCAUGCGUGGAAAGUUGCGUGUACCUGAAGAAUAAGCACCGGCUAACUCCGUGCCAGCAGCCGCGGUAAUACGGAGGGUGCAAGCGUUGUCCGGAUUUAUUGGGUUUAAAGGGUGCGUAGGCGGGACAUUAAGUCAGUGGUGAAAUACUUCGGCUCAACCGGAGAGGUGCCAUUGAAACUGGUGUUCUAGAGUACAGACGAGGUAGGCGGAAUUUAUGGUGUAGCGGUGAAAUGCAUAGAUACCAUAAAGAACACCGAUAGCGAAGGCAGCUUACUAGACUGUAACUGACGCUGAGGCACGAAAGCGUGGGUAGCGAACAGGAUUAGAUACCCUGGUAGUCCACGCCGUAAACGAUGAUCACUCGAUGUAUGCGAUACACCGUAUGCGUCCAAGCGAAAGCGUUAAGUGAUCCACCUGGGG
rnacentral:rRNA from 1 species